CAUACAAAUUUGUAAUGUAUGAAAACAUGAGAUAUUUAACGAAAACUGAAGAGUUAUCAUACUGUGAAGACAUUUGUGAUUCAGAACAAAGAUGGGUUUGUACAGAUAAAGGCAUAAUGAGGAAGGUUUCUGUUAGACAAAUUUAUCGGAUUAAGAGAGCAGCUGUUAAAAUG